GGGGAAUAUUGGACAAUGGGCGCAAGCCUGAUCCAGCCAUGCCGCGUGAGUGAUGAAGGCCUUAGGGUUGUAAAGCUCUUUCGGCGGGGAAGAUAAUGACGGUACCCGCAGAAGAAGCCCCGGCUAACUUCGUGCCAGCAGCCGCGGUAAUACGAAGGGGGUUAGCGUUGCUCGGAAUCACUGGGCGUAAAGCGCACGUAGGCGGGUUGCUAAGUCAGGGGUGAAAUCCUGGAGCUCAACUCCAGAACUGCCUUUGAUACUGGCGACCUUGAGUCCGGGAGAGGUGAGUGGAACUGCGAGUGUAGAGGUGAAAUUCGUAGAUAUUCGCAAGAACACCAGUGGCGAAGGCGGCUCACUGGCCCGGUACUGACGCUGAGGUGCGAAAGCGUGGGGAGCAAAC
rnacentral:rRNA from 1 species